rnacentral:rRNA from 1 species
UACAGAGGGGGCAAGCGUUAUUCGGAAUUAUUGGGCGUAAAGGGCGCGUAGGCGGUCGUUCAAGUGGUAGGUGAAAUCCCUCGGCUCAACCGAGGAGCUGCCCGCCAAACUGAACGACUUGAGUCCGGGAGAGGUAAGUGGAAUUCCCAGUGUAGCGGUGAAAUGCGUAGAUAUUGGGAGGAACACCAGUGGCGAAGGCGGCUUACUGGACCGGCACUGACGCUGAGGCGCGAAAGCGUGGGGAGCAAACGGG